GAGCACCAGUUCGGGUCAAAUACACAAUAAUCCUUGGCGGCGACGACAGUUCAGACUGGAGGGGGAAAUACCUUCAGGAAACUGGUUUUGUUUUGCGGCACGGGCCGACAGACAGAGGUAGAUUGUACAGUCUCUCAGGUCCUGUAGGAUCCCCUUCUUCCCAGCCUCUCCGCCAGUAAACAAACCCUGCCAGUGAGCCAGAUGGGCUUCUGGGGAAAUACGGACUGGAGCUUAUUGGAUUACACAACAAACUGAUCUCACUGUCAGAACCUCAAGAGUGGAACGGCAAACUACUGGCCCAAGUCUCAGGUUAACCGGAAAGACCUAUGUAAAGACACGACAUCACUUCCCUUGAGUUAAGACUACAAAACACCUGCUGCUCCAGUUGGACGCUUUUGCGUACAUCAUCAUAUUCCAGCCGAGAGAAGGAAAGACCAGUGAGGCCGACUGCUGCGAGGCACGUUUAAAAGAUUAUUCUCUAAAUGUAGAGGGAAAAAAUUCCAUUAUGGGCAGAGUGGCUCGUAGGCCCUCACUGUUUGUCUAGGUGAGCUAACCCCUCAAAUGCAAAAGCGAAAGUGGUGUGAAAACACCAUCGAUCCCAUGUAGCAGCAUGUCCGUUCAUGUGUAAAAGUACGACGACUGGGAACUAAUGAGCUGGGAUUUAUGGCAACGGUAUGUUGCAAAGCUCUCCUCUCCUCCAGAUGGCAUAAAAGUAAUAAAAUGAGCGGCAAUGUCAACAAUAUGGAGGUUAAAAAAAAAGAAAUUCCGCAAUUCACCAUCAUUUGCAUUAAAGUUCAUUUCUCUAUGAAACCAACAGAUGCAAACACAUCAUAUAAACGAGUGAAUGAAAUCCUCGCUGAGUGUAUUAAGAUUAAAAAAAUAAAUAAAUCUGAAUGUUGUGGAGCCUUUUCAAUCAACAGGUAACAGUUUAAAAUACAACCAGUCUAUUUGAGUGUUGAUAUAAA